ensembl:lncRNA
CGAACACAAAUUCUCCCUCCUGGGCCUGCUAUGACAAACCAAAGGAAAAAGCUAACUCCAUUUGCCAGCAGGGCAAAAUACUGCCACUGGAAUUAGAAGCAGUAGCUACGGCUGCGUCAGUCUCCAAGAGCUGUCCAUGUGCAAGAUGAGAUAAAGGGGGAAACAGUACCCCAGAGUUGCACUGAGACAGCAAGCUGCCAUCCAGACCACAGUGCUUUAUCUGAAUAGAACACACUGGAGAGGGUCAUCUUGCAUCAGACUCACAGAAAUGCCCAGAGAUGCAUGUGUAGAAUCAAUGAAGAAAUGGAGACACCCCUAGCACAAAUACCAACGUCCACAAGCAAAUGUCUAUACCCUCCUUUCAAGCAUAUCUCCAUCCUUCUCCUUCCCAUGUGGGCCUUCAGUGAACUGCUCACAUCAGCUCAGCACAUUUCUUCACUACUUGUGUUUGUAGUCGCUGUUCAUCCAUGGCAAAUAAGCUCCAGAGACACAAUCCUAAUGGAUGGGCAGACCAACAAGAGGACAUGUGACAUCUACAUGAAGAACUUCUUGCACCAUGGGAUGGUAAAGAACAGGCUAUGUUUUGAAAGCAGACCUCUGACACAGGGUCUUGCGUUUCGUCUUGCUGUCACACUGUGUUACCACACCACAUCACACUGUGUGACAUAACCGACAAACCCUGUUGUAACCUGUAUGUGUCAUGGGAAGGCAGCCUGCUGCCUGAUUCUUGUAAGAGUGCUUCAGGAAAAAGGCAAUCCUACUAAUUCCCCACAGCCAGAACUGUAGCAGGAGCAAAGCUGAACAGAGCUGCUUGCUCUCUUCCUACCUAUCUAUAAUCAGCUUCAGGCAGUCAGCACUUGUCACCCUGAACAUUUCAGAAAUUCUAGAGUACAUGGUGAUAUAAAGCCACUGAAAUGGAGUAAUGUCCCAUGAAGAAAGAGGCUGUCUGUUGAAACCUACUUUUUCACAUUCAAGUAGGAGGUGGUGUGAUAGGGCACACCACAGCAGGGUCCUGACAGCAUACGUCAGUGAGGACAAAUGAACUUUUCAGUGCUGGUCCAAGGUAUUUCAGUUUUGUAUCUAGCCCUCUCUGUGCCCUGCUGUCUUCAUGGUGGUGAUACCAGUUUGGAAGUGAUACCAAGGAACUACUCAGAAUAUGAGAACUUCAACUUUUUCUUUUGUUGCGUUCCCCAGGAAUUACC